ACUUCGCGGGUGGUGGCGGAGAUUUGUAGUAGUAAAGUGGUGGAGGUGGCGACUUGUACUUAUACACUGGCGAAGGAUCAUACUUGGGAGGAGGUGGAGACUUGUAUUCGUACUUUGGUGGCGGUGGGGAGGUGUACUUGUACACUGGGGAUGGAUCGUAUUUCGGUGGUGGUGGAGACUUGUAUUCGUACUUUGGUGGCGGUGGGGAGGUGUACUUGUACACCGGGGAUGGAUCGUACUUCGGUGGUGGAGGGGAUUUGUAUUCGUACUUUGGUGGCGGUGGGGACUUGUAUUGGUAGACAGGAGAUGGAUCAUACUUGGGCGGAGGUGGAGGGGACUUGUAUUCGUACUUGGGUGGAGGGGGACUCUUGUACUGGUAGACUGGAGAUGGAUCGUACUUUGGUGGAGGUGGAGGCGAUUUAUAUUCGUACUUUGGUGGAGGCGGGCUCUUGUACUGGUAUACGGGAGAUGGAUCAUACUUCGGUGGAGGUGGGGAUUUGUAUUCAUACUUAGGUGGGGGCGGACUCUUGUACUCGUAAACAGGCGACGGAUCGUAUUUCACAGGGGGUGGAGGGGAUUUGUAUUCGUACUUUGGUGGGGGCGGGGACUUGUACUCAUACACCGGUGAAGGAUCGUACUUGGGAGGAGGUGGAGACUUGUACUCGUACUUUGGCGGGGGCGGCGACUUGUACUCAUACACCGGUGAAGGGUCGUACUUAGGAGGAGGUGGAGACUUGUACUCGUAUUUUGGUGGUGGUGGUGACUUAUACUCAUACACAGGUGAUGGAUCAUACUUUGGUGGUGGUGGCGGGGACUUAUAUUCGUAUUUCGGCGGAGGGGGGGAUUUGUACUCGUACACCGGUGAAGGAUCAUACUUGGGGGGUGGAGGCGAUUUGUACUCGUACACUGGUGAUGGAUCAUACUUGAGUGGUGGAGGUGGAGAUUUGUACUCAUACUUCGGUGGUGGAGGCGAUUUGUACUCAUACACUGGUGAUGGAUCAUACUUCAGGGGUGGAGGUGGAGAUUUGUACUCGUACUUGGGGGGUGGAGGCGAUUUGUACUCGUACACUGGUGAUGGAUCAUACUUGGGGGGUGGAGGCGAUUUGUACUCAUACACAGGUGAUGGAUCAUACUCUGGAGGUGGAGGAGACUUGUAUUCGUAUUUUGGUGGAGGAGGAGACUUGUAGUCGGGGGAUGGAGGGUCAACG
rnacentral:lncRNA from 1 species